UACGAAGGGGGCUAGCGUUGCUCGGAAUCACUGGGCGUAAAGCGCACGUAGGCGGCUUUCUAAGUCAGGGGUGAAAUCCUGGAGCUCAACUCCAGAACUGCCUUUGAUACUGGGAAGCUUGAGUCCGGAAGAGGUGAGUGGAACUCCGAGUGUAGAGGUGAAAUUCGUAGAUAUUCGGAAGAACACCAGUGGCGAAGGCGGCUCACUGGCCCGGUACUGACGCUGAGGUGCGAAAGCGUGGGGAGCAAACAGG
rnacentral:rRNA from 1 species